rnacentral:rRNA from 1 species
UACGAAGGGGGCUAGCGUUGUUCGGAAUUACUGGGCGUAAAGCGCACGUAGGCGGAUAUUUAAGUCAGGGGUGAAAUCCCAGAGCUCAACUCUGGAACUGCCUUUGAUACUGGGUAUCUUGAGUAUGGAAGAGGUGAGUGGAAAUUCCGAGUGUAGAGGUGAAAAUUCGUAGAUAUUCGGAGGAACACCGGUGGCGAAGGCGGGGUCUCUGGGCAGUAACUGACGCUGAGAAGCGAAAGCGUGGGGAGCGAACAGG